UUUACACCUGGUUUGAAAAAGAAAAAGCUAAAAUAGAAGAGGACAAUAGCUGCUCUUCUGGAGCGAUAGCUGGAGACCAGGUGAGAUAUCCAAAGGAGUCUAAUGAGGCUUGUGUGUAAAUAGUGAGCUCUCAUUUUAAGUUACAUCACUGAGAUCUUUUGUACUAUCACUGUGAUGUAUGAUAUAAAAAGAAAACUUUUUCCUUAGACUUGGAGACGAAACUUGAUGUUUCUAACAACAUUAGUAGCUGUGCAUGUUCUGAAGAUCAAGAUACAUAUGCUACAAGUGACUUCAGCAUUUCUGACAGAGAGCCACCUCAUACACAGGAAGAAAAAUUAUCUGGAGGAACAAUACAUGCCAACAGGUGAGACAGAAGGUUACAGAAUGAGACCAGAGGGUUAUGGAGUUUCCAAGAAGAGGAACAUAUGUCAGAGAUUAAAGAUGGGUAUGGAAAAUGGAGAUGCAAGUCAACUGGCUGGCAUUGUAAGAAGCAGAGCAGGUCUGGUGGAUGGAGGAAGAAGUGAACUGUCCAGUGACUCACAGCCAACCCUUCUGUAUUUCAGGAACUGCUCAGUGAGCUCCAGAACAGAGCACUUACAUUCCAUGCCUCUUUUGCAUCACGGGUUUUUAUCCACGAUAAAAGUUAACAUUUAUACAGCCAUUGUGAGUAUAUAGUGCAACAAGUAUUUUAGAUUUCUUAUGUGGACUCUCUUGAGUGCAUGUGUGAUCGGCAGGACAGAAAUAGAGUUACUGAAUGGCACGUCUGGCCUAGUUGAAGCAUCCAGCAAGGACAGUUUGCUCCUGGGAUGCCAGCCAGGUGCUUUUUCAGUUUGUGUUGUUGGAAAACAAUGCCUCCUUGACUACAAUGUAGUUAGUAAAAAUAAAACCAUUUCAGUUCUGAAGAAAAUAGCUCUAAUUAACCACAUCUUUUCUGCUCCAUAAAGUGGUGUCACUGUGUGAGUGCUGUGGCUCUCUGUUGUUACAUUGUAGAGCAUCAUGAGAGGUUAUUCUGACAUGGCUCAGAGGAAGAUGGUGACUUCUUAAGUGCAGAUACUCAGUCUAGACUGAAUGGUUUGU